rnacentral:rRNA from 1 species
GGACGACGUGUGCUUACCAUGCAGUCGAACGGUGAAGCCAAGCUUGCUUGGUGGAUCAGUGGCGAACGGGUGAGUAACACGUGAGCAACCUGCCCUGGACUCUGGGAUAAGCGCUGGAAACGGCGUCUAAUACUGGAUAUGAGCUCUCAUCGCAUGGUGGGGGUUGGAAAGAUUUUUCGGUCUGGGAUGGGCUCGCGGCCUAUCAGCUUGUUGGUGAGGUAAUGGCUCACCAAGGCGUCGACGGGUAGCCGGCCUGAGAGGGUGACCGGCCACACUGGGACUGAGACACGGCCCAGACUCCUACGGGAGGCAGCAGUGGGGAAUAUUGCACAAUGGGCGGAAGCCUGAUGCAGCAACGCCGCGUGAGGGAUGACGGCCUUCGGGUUGUAAACCUCUUUUAGCAGGGAAGAAGCGAGAGUGACGGUACCUGCAGAAAAAGCGCCGGCUAACUACGUGCCAGCAGCCGCGGUAAUACGUAGGGCGCAAGCGUUAUCCGGAAUUAUUGGGCGUAAAGAGCUCGUAGGCGGUUUGUCGCGUCUGCUGUGAAAUCCCGAGGCUCAACCUCGGGCCUGCAGUGGGUACGGGCAGACUAGAGUGCGGUAGGGGAGAUUGGAAUUCCUGGUGUAGCGGUGGAAUGCGCAGAUAUCAGGAGGAACACCGAUGGCGAAGGCAGAUCUCUGGGCCGUAACUGACGCUGAGGAGCGAAAGGGUGGGGAGCAAACAGGCUUAGAUACCCUGGUAGUCCACCCCGUAAACGUUGGGAACUAGUUGUGGGGACCAUUCCACGGUUUCCGUGACGCAGCUAACGCAUUAAGUUCCCCGCCUGGGGAGUACGGCCGCAAGGCUAAAACUCAAAGGAAUUGACGGGGACCCGCACAAGCGGCGGAGCAUGCGGAUUAAUUCGAUGCAACGCGAAGAACCUUACCAAGGCUUGACAUACACCAGAACACCGUAGAAAUACGGGACUCUUUGGACACUGGUGAACAGGUGGUGCAUGGUUGUCGUCAGCUCGUGUCGUGAGAUGUUGGGUUAAGUCCCGCAACGAGCGCAACCCUCGUUCUAUGUUGCCAGCACGUAAUGGUGGGAACUCAUGGGAUACUGCCGGGGUCAACUCGGAGGAAGGUGGGGAUGACGUCAAAUCAUCAUGCCCCUUAUGUCUUGGGCUUCACGCAUGCUACAAUGGCCGGUACAAAGGGCUGCAAUACCGUGAGGUGGAGCGAAUCCCAAAAAGCCGGUCCCAGUUCGGAUUGAGGUCUGCAACUCGACCUCAUGAAGUCGGAGUCGCUAGUAAUCGCAGAUCAGCAACGCUGCGGUGAAUACGUUCCCGGGUCUUGUACACACCGCCCGUCAAGUCAUGAAAGUCGGUAACACCUGAAGCCGGUGGCCCAACCCUUGUGGAGGGAGCCGUCGAAGGUGGGAUCGGUAAUUAGGACUAAGUCGAACAAGAGAUAGGC